GUUAACCCUGACCCUGACCCCUAACCCUAGACUACACAUCUCAUACCAGUAGGUUAACCCUGACCCCUGACUUUAGACUACACAUCUCAUACCAGUAGGUUAACCCUGACCCCUGACCCUAGACUACACAUCCCAUACCAGUAGGUUAACCCUGACCCUGACCCCUAACCCUAGACUACACAUCUCAUACCAGUAGGUUAACCCUGACCCCUGACCCUAGACUACACAUCUCAUACCAGUAGGUUAACCCUGACCCCUGACUUUAGACUACACAUCUCAUACCAGUAGGUUAACCCUGACCCCUAACCCUAGACUACACAUCUCAUACCAGUAAGUUAUGUACAAGCGUAACUGGUAGGAUCUGAACCCCAACUCGGAAAACCAAAGUCUUA
rnacentral:lncRNA from 1 species